rnacentral:rRNA from 1 species
AUGCCCGCAGCCACCACACCUUCCAUGGCCUUGGUCCGCACCCGCCCCAGCUCGUGCCGGCUUUCCCUGCCCCAUCUCUUGCUGGCCGCCUACCUGCGCUGGCCGACCCACCUCCCACCUCUCACACGCCGGCACAACCACACGCCAUCAUCGCCGACAUGGAAGGCGGCCUCACCUCUCCACCUCCCUCGCCUGCCCCCUUUUCUAACCCAGCUUCGGCCGUCGACCCGUCGCAAUCUACGCUGGCUUCCGCUGCCACACCGUAGUCGUUUUCGUGGCUGCACCACCUUGUCCGUUCACAUCCGCCACCCUGGGUCGUUCAAUGACCCGGCGGCAAGCCGUUCGAGGUCGCAGCUCGAGAGGUGCCCGUCUCAGCUUUUCCCAACCUUCCCUGGACGUUCGUGCUCCUUCUCUUCAGUAUAUUCAGUUCAACAUCUAGUGCUUCUUUAG